UCCUUCACCCAAACUCACCAUUCAGCGAAAUGCAGAAAUGAUAAUGCCUCACAAGCUGGUUGUACAGAUUGAAUAACAAUGUGAACAGAGCACCGAGUAUAAUCCCUGAAACAGCAAACCAGAGGUCCCGUCUGGCUGGCAUGAAUGGAAGGGCAAACGCUCCGACCAAAUUGCUCUGGGAAUGUCAUUCUAAUUAUUGGAUCCUGACCCAGCAGCAUGCUGAUAAGCUCUGGGUUGGAGACGCCCUAUCUCAGAGGAGCUCCAAACCUGCUCAAGGCCUUUUCUUGCCCUCUGCAACUUUCCUGCCAAGCAAUUAGCCUCCAGGGGUAUCUGAGAGCGGGAGACUGGGAGGAGCGGGGUCCCUCGGGGUUGAAGUGGGGAGGGCUAACGGGCUGGGGAUGCCCCCUGUUGUGUUUCCAGGGAAAGCCUGUCCAGAUUGCCGUUGCCUUCUUUACCUUCAGUGUCAGAGUUGGGGUCCAGCCUGUAUUGUGGGGAGUAGGAAAAGCUUUUCUUGUUGAGCCCUGGGCUUCUGUUAGGGGUUGAAUUAUGUCCCUCCCCACACUCCACAUUCAUAUGUUGAAGCCCUAACCCCUAGUUCCUCAGAAUGUAACUGUAUUUGGAGAUACAGUCUUUAAAGAGGUCAUUACAUUAAAAUGAGGUCACUGGGGUGGGUCCUUAUCCAGUAAAACUGGUGUCCUUAGAAGAAGAGGAAAUUGGAACACGGACACGCACAGAGGAAAGACCAAGUGAAGAUACAGUGAGAAGAUGGCCAACGACAAGCCGAGGAACAGGGUCUCAGAGGACCCCAACCCUGCUGACACCUUGAUCUCGGGCUUUCAGCUUCCAGCACUGUGGCAAAAUUCAUUUCUACUGUUUAGGCCUCCCGGUCUGUGACAUGUUGUCACGGUGGCCACUGAAGACUCAGACAGCUUCCUUCUAGCUCUGGUUCUUCUACCGGUGUGCUUUCAGGUGCUCCGGAGGGCCCGGUGGCAGGGAAAGCCAGGUCUCCAGGCUCCUGGCCCAGGGCGUGUUUAGGAGGCAGGGCCUUCUCUGACACAAGUAUGAGGAGCAGAGAGGUUUCUCUUCUUCAGUCUCCACUAGGUCCUGGCCUCCAUGGCUUCUAUAGGCAGGGACCUGGCCAGGGCAUUCACCAGAGACUUUGACAGGGAGUCCAGGCCCAGACCCCAUAGGCAGAGCCAGGAGCCCUGUGCCAGCUUCCCAGGGAGCACCGGGGCCCAACGUAGAGUCAAGAGCUGGCAUCAGCACAGGUGCAAGGUGGGGUUGGGAAGGGCAUGGCAGCUUGGGGGUCUGCAGUGCACAGGUGGCCUGGCAUGAGGUAGGUGGGCCGGCUUGAAGGUCUAGAAGAUGGAUAGACACCAGAGACUUGUAGUCUAUGUCUCCUUCUUGCUGUCCCCUGGAUGUCACCUCCCCUCUGCCCCCAGUGCUGAACUAACCCCCUUCAUCUUUUACUUGGGACUCCAUCAGUGACUCAUCAUUGCUUUUGGUGUGACUUACCAGCGGCCGCUCCGUCUGCCUCUUCCUUCCCCUCCAGGGUCAUUUUGAACACUCUUCCUUCCUGACAACUAAACUUUUCACUGUUUCCCAUCAUAACAUGUUAUUUUAUACUUCAUUUAACUAUCCACCCACCUAUCCAUUUAUCCACCCACCUACCCACCUAUCCAUCCACGCACCCACUCAUCCAUCCAUCCAUCCAUCCAUCCAUCCAUCCAUCCAUCCAUCCAGCAAAUAUUUGCCUAGUGUCUGCCUUGGGCACCCAUGCUGGACCCUGGUGCCACAGUGCAGAGCCCACGCCCAGCCCCUCCCCCCAUGAAGCUCACAGUCUAGCUAGGGAGCUAGACAUCAGCCCAUCAGAUGACUUACAUCUAAAAUUAUAAACUAAGACAUGCAGUGAAGGGAAAAAUCAGGGAGUGCUGAGCACAGAAAACCAUGGGACCGAUGGGGUUGGGGGUUGAGAUGAGCUCCAUGUGGAGGAGGGGACAUUGUGUGGGCUGAGACCUGAACCGUGAGUCAAGUGAAUCAGGAGGAGGGGAAGGAAGGGUGUUCUUGGCAGAAGGGACCACACGUGUGAAGUCCCUGAGGUGGCUGGGAGCUGGAAGAAAGCCGAGUGACUGCAGCACAGAGUGAGAGGGUGGCGGUGGUGUUGGGCUGGGAGGUCCUGGGGGGGUUGCAUCUUCUUGUUUCUAGGGCAGUAACUGGUUCACGCUGGGAACUCAGCGGGAAUUGAGGAAGGCAUGAGGUUGUCGCUAGUCAUUAUUUGCAGGGGGAUGGCAGUCUACUCAGGGACUCUUGCUGCACAUGACAGCACACCCCCUCCCCGCCCCCGCCCCAUUUACCAUCUCUAAGGGGUUCUGCUAAGGUCAUCUGUCUACUCUGGAGCCCAGAAUCCCUUUGUUCCUCCCUCUUCCACUGUUAGUAUUUCGACAGGUUUUCCUCUAGGCUUUUUGGUGCAGGUCACUCAGAUGUCUGCAGGCCACCCUAGCCCAAGCAGUCACUUUGUUUCUCCGGCUCUGCCCUGCCCGUCAAAUCUACACACACGCUUCCUGGAGUCCUGUGGGUAUGUCUCGUGUGUGCUCACAAGCCAGGCAGUUUGAUCCUGUGUAGCAUCUGUCAUGUUUUAGUGUUGCCCCUGGUGAUGUCCAUGUCUGAGACCUCAGAUGUUGAGGCGGGGUGAAAAUGCCUCACCGUCACCUCCGCUGAGAGCAGCAACACCUCCAGGUGCCAAAGGGAUAUGCAGCCAGCCAGCCACGAAGCUGCCAUGCGGGGUUCUGCCAAGAAGGCUGAGAAUGCGCCUGUUCUCCAUUCUACAUGACAGUUGGUAACCCGGACACCAGAACAACUGGCUGACCGCUGCUUGAAAACAGUGCCCAGUGUCCACCUGUAGCUCUCACUCCUUCAGGCUUGGUCUGUGAAUUUGGGCUGGGAUCCAAAUGUUGGGGGCAGGUGAUGCAGGCUCCCCAAUACCCCACCCCUCUGGGGUGCACACACUCAGGGCACUUCUCCCCCAAACCUUCAUGGAAACCAGCACAUGGAAAUUGUGACCUCACCUCACAAGAUAAGCAAGCAGGCUUAAAAAUACCUAGAUCCUUAUAUGAACGUAGCUCAGGUGCUGACUUCACUCUAGUGUAGAGGGUGAUUUUAAUUUUGUAUGAAUUAUAAUCAAUGUGCUUUCCAUUUUGAGUGCUUUUUUUUACUCUACAUUGUAAGCAUGUUCAUAUUAUUACAGUCUUCAUAGGCAGAAUUCUUAGCAGCUCCUUGAUAGUUCAAUAAGGAGAUGCACCCCUUUUCCUGAGCACCCCCUAUUAUUGGACAUUUAGCUUAUUUCCAGAUUGUUGCUAUUUUUAAUGAUGUGCAUGGAACAUCACCAUAUAUUGGGCUAUUAGUGCAUAUUUUCAGAAUAAGAAUGACCAACUUGAGAAGUAUAAAAGAGUUUGAUCCAUUAAGUUUAAUUGCCAUCCAACUAGUUUGUAGCAACUCACAAGUCCACCAAUAUUUUCCACGGGUAGGUACCAGAUCCUUAACCGUAAUUGCUAUAGGAUCUGCCUGGCUGGAUUACCUCUCUUCAUAAUGACAAGAAUGAUUCUUGAAGCUCAGGGUUUUAUAAAGAGAAAAGGGAAUUAGUUAAGGACUGAAUGCAGACCAUAGAAUCAACUGCAUAGAGUUUCUAACCAACCAUUUAAACAUACAUAUAGAUCUAAAAUAACAAACUAUAUAUAGCUAUAGCGCCUGUGGGGAUCUUGUGUCAAUGGCACUCUCACCUCCUAGGAUGCAUGAGUGAGGAAGAAAUACCUUACUUAGCCUGGUAAGGUGAGGCCCUACCACUGCUCUGGAACACCCUUCUGUCAUCUGUAGGGGGGAUUACCCUCUGCUUCUCCAUGCCCACCUUGGCCCCCAUUCUGACCGAUCCACACUGUAGCAGAUGCUCCCUCACCUGUAUUGGGAAUGGCCUGACAAUGGCAUAAGAGUUCUUACUCUAAAGUUGCGCAAAAGCUACGCUUCAGGGGCGGGGCCUUCAUCAGCUGUAUUUCUGAAGUUUUGUUUGCUUUUGCUCCUAUUUGCUACUAUUCAGACCUGCUGCAAAAGCUGAAAGUGUGACUGUCCUCUAGUUUAGCAAUUAUGUCUUCUGCAGGUCCCUGGUACACAAUGGCCGUCUCUCUUUUUUUUUUUUUAUUUUUUUUUGCAUUUUGGUAGUAGGAGGUGUGUGUGGACCUUCCCAGCUAUUUACAGGAGGAGGAAAUCUACUUCUUCUACAUACAUGGUACCCAAAUUCAUACUAAGCUGUUUUCUAGGUUGCUUAAGUGCACCCUCCCACCCAGCGCAGCAGCCCUGUGCCCUGUGUAUGUGUGGGGAGGGAGGUUUAACUCUUUCAUGCUACACCUACGUAGUCUAUGAACUAAGGUGAUAACUUAUACAGAUGGUCCCCAACUUCUGAUGGUGCAACGUCAUGACAUAUUGACUUUAUGAUGAUGUGAAACAGUUGCAAUUUUGAUGUAAUGUACAGUAUUCAAUUCAAUAAAUGACAGAUAUUCAGCACUUUAUUAUAAAAUAG
rnacentral:lncRNA from 1 species